rnacentral:rRNA from 1 species
CAAUAGCGUAUAUUAAAGUUGUUGCAGUUAAAAAGCUCGUAGUUGGAUUUCUGGUGGGAGCGAUCGGUCUGGCGCUCAGCGCGAGUACUUGCAUCGUCUCCGGCCAUCCUUGGGGAGAGUCUGUCUGGCAUUAGGUUGUCGGGCAGAGGAUCCUCAUCGUUUACUGUGAAAAAAUUAGAGUGUUUAAAGCAGGCGUUGUGUUUUGAAUACAUUAGCAUGGAAUAAUAAGAUACGACUUUGGUGGUCUAUUUUGUUGGUUUGCACACCAGAGUAAUGAUUAAUAGGGACAGUUGGGGGUAUUCAUAUUUGAGCGUCAGAGGUGAAAUUCUUGGAUCGCUGAAAGAUGAGCUUUGGCGAAAGCAUUUACCAUGGAUGUUUUCAUUAA